UACGUAGGGCGCAAGCGUUGUCCGGAAUUAUUGGGCGUAAAGAGCUAGUAGGCGGUCUGUCGCGUCUGCCGUGAAAACCCGAGGCUUAACCUCGGGCUGGCGGUGGAUACGGGCAGACUAGAGGUAGGUAGGGGAGAAUGGAAUUCCCGGUGUAGCGGUGAAAUGCGCAGAUAUCGGGAGGAACACCGGUGGCGAAGGCGGUUCUCUGGGCCUUACCUGACGCUGAGGAGCGAAAGCGUGGGGAGCGAACAGG
rnacentral:rRNA from 1 species